GAACGCACCUUGCGCUCCUUGGUAUUCCGAGGAGCAUGCCUGUUUGAGUGUCAUGAAAUCUUCAACCUAUAAGCUUUUGUGGUUUGUAGGCUUGGACUUGGAGGCUUGUCGGCCUUGAUCGGUCGGCUCCUCUUAAAUGCAUUAGCUUGAUUCCUUGCGGAUCGGCUCUCGGUGUGAUAAUAUCUACGCCGCGACCGUGAAGCGUUUGGCGAGCUUCUAACCGUCUCACUUGAGAGACAACUUUAUGACCUCUGACCUCAAAUCAGGUAGGACUACCCGCUGAACUUAAG
rnacentral:misc_RNA from 1 species